UACGUAGGUGGCGAGCGUUGUCCGGAUUUACUGGGCGUAAAGAGUGCGCAGGCGGUCGUUCAAGUCGCGUGUGAAAGCCCCCGGCUCAACUGGGGAGGGUCACGCGAUACUGAUCGACUCGAAGGCAGGAGAGGGAAGUGGAAUUCCCGGUGUAGUGGUGAAAUGCGUAGAUAUCGGGGAGGAACACCAGUGGCGAAGGCGGCACUCUGGGGACGGUAC
rnacentral:rRNA from 1 species